rnacentral:rRNA from 1 species
CCCUUAGAUGUUCUGGACCGCACGCGCGCUACACUGAUGCAUUCAACGAGUCUAAAACCUGCUCUGAUAGGGGUGGGUAAUCUUUUGAAUGUGCAUCGUGAUUGGGAUAGAUGAUUGCAAUUUUUCAUCUUCAACGAGGAAUGCCUAGUAAACGCAAGUCAUCAGCUUGCAUUGAUUACGUCCCUGCCCUUUGUACACACCGCCCGUCGCUCCUACCGAUUGAAUGAUCCGAUGAAUAUCAUGGAUUGAGGAUGCAAGUAGGUUAGCCUAUCUUCAUCUUCGAGAAGUGAAGUAAAUCUUAUCAUUUAGAGGAAGGAGAAGUCGUAACA